UUCGGUGCCAAUGCCGUUUGCAAAAAUAUGGAAAUCCAAAGUGCGUUCCAAUAUUUUUUGGCAGCUAUAUAAAUCGAUUGGUAUCAUCAUUUAUUCCAACAAAAAGCAUCGUACUAUUCACUCCAUCUAUAUCAUUGAAUCGCACUUCCUACGGAACUUGCAAAUCGUUAUCAGUUUGACUCAUUUGCGCCGCUAAAUUGAACGUAGACAAAAAAUCGUCUAUCGAUAGAAAGAAAAAGUUAACGCUCGCACCAUUCAAAUUGUGUUCUUGUCUGCUGCGCAAAAAGUGUUCAAUAAAACGCAGAAUUGCGUGAUUUUAUCAAUCAGUUCUAACAAGGCUAUUGAAGUGAAUAGAUUAAAAUAGUCCAAUAUACAAAACACGCGGAAUUUAUUUUGAACAAGUCAGUAAAAGAAAAAAAUGAAUCAAAUCAGUUUGGCAAAAUUAUUCUUGGUCAUUUCGAUUGCUGCUCUGGUAAUAUCGACGAUUGAUGCCCAAUGGUAUCAAUCUAAGUAUCAAUCUGGAAAAUUCCGACGAUUUGCGAAACAUGAUUCAACAAAGGAUGGUAAAGAGCCACAAUGCCCAUGUCCUCGUAUGCGGUGGCAGAUUUGCGGUAGUGAUGGAAAAACUUAUGAUAAUGAGUGCUUAUUCGAGUGUGCCGCAUCAAAAUCCAAAAUUCCUAUGGAAAUUGUGAAGAAGAGUGCAUGUGACGAAGCGGAAGAAAUGGAAUUCGAACCGUUUCUAUCUUAGUUGGCUGAUGUCAUUGGGUCAAUGGUUUUCAUCAUUUAAUACACCCUAAAUUUUUCAAUUUAUUCUGAUCUUUUUUCGAUAUUUAUAAAGAAUAACACUUUUGCUAGUUUGUCAUUAUAGUUUUAAGAACAUGAAAUAUUCGCUAACUUAAAUGAAGGUAUAAAUAAAGAAAAAGAAUUAAGAUCAAUCCACCAA